GGGGAAAGAAAGCACUGAGCAGCAAGAAUUACUGAUUCAUCGGGGAGGAGGGCGCCCGCAAUCCAGCCUGGCACCUUUCUGGUCUGGAAGCGAUGUGGGGAGGCAGUGCGCCCCCCGGUCUCCUCUGCCGGACUCUGUGUGGCCUGCACCCCGCGGGGGCUGAGCACAGCGGCAUCAGGUGCCCACAGUAGCCGGGGUCCUGGGCAGCGGCUGAUGGAUGGGGCCCCCCUGCAGGCCCCAGUCAGGCCCUGCACCUGGCUGAAGGUUCUGCUGCCCAGAAGCAUGUCCACAGCUGGCUCCAAGCUGGGGGCCCUCUCGUCGUCCUGCUGGUCUUCCUCGGCUCAGCGAGCAGGUCCCUCUGUCAGGAAUGAGCAUCAGAACACAGACUGCACAACUCCGUGUAACUCGAGCAGGACGUCAGCCCUUGGUCGUGGAAACCACCCUCUAAGCGUGUGAAUAGAACAGCCGAGAUGUUUCCUGCUGUGGAAGGUGUUGGUUUUCACAAGUGAGCAGCAGAACAGAAUCGCCAAGGACGCUGGUGGCUCAGGACCAAGAGGGCUUCUCAGCCCUCCUCCCCGCCCUCAGUUUUCUCCUGGACGAGUGUGAGCAUGAGCAACACGGGCCCCACAUUUGCUUCCACAUUUGUUCCAGGGCACCCAGCAGGUGCUGCGCUCUGGUUAGACUCUGUUCCAGGUUCCAAGUGUUGACGGUGGCCUGGGGAGCUGCAGUGUUGGGCACGCCCACAUGGUCACAGGGGCAUGCCCACCAGCCUGUGGGGAGGUGAUAUCCUGGUGGCCCUGACAACAGGGGCUGUACUAAACCUCUUUUAAUCCCCUCAACAACUGGGAGAGAUUGGUACUCAUUAUUCUCAUUAUAUGGAUGAGGAAAUGGAGCUCAGAGAGGGUAAGUAACAGCCCCUAACCGCUGCCCCUGGAUGACAUGUGAGCACAAAGAAUAGCAGAGUGGGUGCCCACCCAGCGCCCCCAGGCUCAGAAGACCAGGAGGCUUGCCAGGUAUGUGUGAGUGUGUGUGUGUGUGUGUGUGUGUGUCGUGUGGUGGGCCCAGGGGUCCAUGAGGAUGGCCAGGAGCUGGGUGUGAUGGGUCAGAGAGGUCAGGUGUGGCCCUCAGGUUACCGGAGCCAGAGUAGCUUUCCCCUUAAAGGCCGAGCAAAACGGGCUGUUGCCUGGGAAAGGAAGGGCAUUUCCAGCCCCACGGAAGGCUGGAGCCUUGCUGAGGAGCCUUGAAUGCCAGGACAGGGCGUCUGUGCCUCAUCCUGCGGGCCAUGGGGAACCGCCGAGGUGUUUAUUCCAAGCCAAUGUUAGAGUUACAGGAAAGCUGGGGAACUGGUAGCCAGUCCCUGGCUCCUCAUGGGGUCCCUGAAUGUAGGCAACCACAGCACACCUGCCAAAUCAGGCACAGCCGCCUUGGUGCCCACCCCCCCCCCCCCCCCCCCGCC
rnacentral:lncRNA from 1 species